ACUCCUACGGGAGGCAGCAGUAGGGAAUAUUGGUCAAUGGGCGAGAGCCUGAACCAGCCAUGCCGCGUGCAGGAAGACGGCCUUCUGGGUUGUAAACUGCUUUUAUCAGGGAACAAAAGGCCAUGCGUGGCAAAUUGCGUGUACCUGAAGAAUAAGGACCGGCUAACUCCGUGCCAGCAGCCGCGGUAAUACGGAGGGUCCAAGCGUUGUCCGGAUUUAUUGGGUUUAAAGGGUGCGUAGGCGGCCCUAUAAGUCAGUGGUGAAAUCCUUCAGCUCAACUGGAGAACUGCCAUUGAUACUGUAGGGCUUGAGUACAGACGAGGUAGGCGGAAUUUAUGGUGUAGCGGUGAAAUGCAUAGAUACCAUAAAGAACACCUAUUGCGAAGGCAGCUUACUAGACUGUAACUGACGCUGAGGCACGAAAGCGUGGGGAGCGAACAGGAUUAGAUACCCUGGUAGGCUCUGCU
rnacentral:rRNA from 1 species